GAACGUUUGACAUUUUUUAAUAUACCCUUUUACAUAUUAACAUAAACUUUUAUGUUAAAAGUAUACAUUUAUAAUUUAAACAAUUUAGACUGCUAUACUUCCUUUUGAAAAGGCUUCUGCCUUGCUUUUCCCCCAAGGCCAUACGAAAUCCCAUCACCUUAACGCCACCUUUCGCAACACUAACACUGGAGGUUCUGUAUUGUAGCAAAGAAAAUUACGAUUUUUUCAUAGCUCAUUAAUAUUGAAAUGCAACUGGAAAAAUAAACAAAGAGCUAAUUAUGAAACAAUCCAAUAAACAAUUAUGCUAGGCCAUAAUCGGGGUUCGACUAAAUUGCACGGAGGAAAUUAUGUGUGGCAUUAUCCUUCAAUCAAUUGCAAAGAGGAAAUUAUGUGCAAAGAUCCCAUUUUUUGGUUUUCAAUACUA
rnacentral:misc_RNA from 1 species